AUUGAACGCUGGCGGCAGGCCUAACACAUGCCAGUCGAGCGGAUGAAGGGAGCUUGCUCCUGGAUUCAGCGGCGGACGGGUGAGUAAUGCCUAGGAAUCUGCCUGGUAGUGGGGGAUAACGUCCGGAAACGGGCGCUAAUACCGCAUACGUCCUGAGGGAGAAAGUGGGGGAUCUUCGGACCUCACGCUAUCAGAUGAGCCUAGGUCGGAUUAGCUAGUUGGUGGGGUAAAGGCCUACCAAGGCGACGAUCCGUAACUGGUCUGAGAGGAUGAUCAGUCACACUGGAACUGAGACACGGUCCAGACUCCUACGGGAGGCAGCAGUGGGGAAUAUUGGACAAUGGGCGAAAGCCUGAUCCAGCCAUGCCGCGUGUGUGAAGAAGGUCUUCGGAUUGUAAAGCACUUUAUGUUGGGAGGAAGGGCAGUAAGUUAAUACCUUGCUGUUUUGACGUUACCAACAGAAUAAGCACCGGCUAACUUCGUG
rnacentral:rRNA from 1 species